rnacentral:rRNA from 1 species
CGGAUAGAGCCAACGUAUCUUGCUCGUAUUCAGCCACUCUGUGUGCCUUUCUGUCGUCGUCGGGUUCCACUUGUGGGCCUGGCUGGCGGUGGUUUGGCGCCAUACGGAGUGGUGCAGUUGCGGGUGGAGUGCGUCGAGGCGUCCCGGCCGAGGGUUGGGGCCCGUGGUUGAGGCUAUUCUUCGGAGUAGUACCCGCCGCGGUGCUUCGAUCGUUCGUUCGGGAUUGUCGUUGGUUGGGUGCGGCAGAGACGUGUGCGAUUGCGUAAAUUCGGGCAUCUGGUGUGGGUCGCUUGCGACACCUACCUGUUUGUUCGUCUGUGCGUGGUUGUUCACUCGCGCUCCGGACCUCGGCGUAAAGGUUGGUCAUCUAUCCGACCCGUCUUGAAACACGGACCAAGGAGUUUAGCGUUUACGCGAGUGAUUGAGUGUUGAAAACUCAAAAGCGUAAUGAAAGUGAAGAUAUUUACUCGAUAAGUUGAUAUGCGAUCCGGUUGGCUUCGGCUGGCCGGCGCAGCAUAGCCCCGCCUCGAUUGCUUGCAAUGGGGCGGAGGUAGAGCGUUAGCGCUGAGACCCGAAAGAUGGUGAACUAUGCCUGAGCAGGAUGAAGCCAGAGGAAACUCUGGUGGAAGUCCGAAGCGGUUCUGACGUGCAAAUCGAUCGUCUGAUUUGGGUAUAGGGGCGAAAGACUAAUCGAACCAUCUAGUAG